AGCAGCCGCGGUAAUUCCAGCUCCAAUAGCGUAUAUUAAAGUUGUUGCAGUUAAAAAGCUCGUAGUUGAAUUUCGGGAUCAGAUUGUCGGUCGUGCCUCGGUACGCACUGGCAUUAUUGGUUCCUACCUUCUGAAGAACCGCGAUGUCAUUAAUUUGGUGUCGUGGGGAAUCAGGACUGUUACUUUGAAAAAUUAGAGUGUUUAAAGCAGGCGCACGCUUGAAUACAUUAGCAUGGAAUAAUGAAAUAGGACGUUUGAUUCUAUUUUGUUGGUUUCUAGGAUCGACGUAAUGAUUAAUAGGGAUAGUUGGGGGCAUUAGUAUUCAAUUGUCAGAGGUGAAAUUCUUGGAUUUAUUGAAGACUAACUACUGCGAAAGCAUUUGCCAAGGAUGUUUUCAUUAAUCAAGAACGAAAGUUAGGGGAUCGAAGACGAUCAGAUACCGUCGUAGUCUUAACCAUAAACUAUGCCGACUAGGGAUCGGAUGAUGUUGAUUUUAUAAUGACUC
rnacentral:rRNA from 1 species